rnacentral:lncRNA from 1 species
GGCAGUUCCACUCAUUUGAAUAUGCAUGAGACAGAUAACAAGGACGAUAUGAUGUUGCCAUCCUCAAGGUUUUUCUUGAGUGAAUUAUUAAGGCAAUAAAAUAUUGGCUAAGACACGGACAAAAAUAUUUUCUCACAUUGUAAAGGUACUUAUUAUACAAAACAGUAGUUACAUCACAAAUUAAAAGCAAGGUAAAAAGGAAAACAUUUUCCCAGGAAUGGGUUAAAUUAUAUCAACAAGUCCAUGAUUUUGGUAAAAAGUAAAUAUUCUUUUUACUGUACAGAGCCAUUUUUUUUUGUGGUAAAGUGGCAAUAUCUCUGUAUAGGCCUCAUCUAGUCAUUGAUUAAAUUGAUUAAUAGUUUAGAUAAAAUAAUGAGCUAACUUUUAUUGAAAACUUAGUAUGUGUUAAGGGCUAUUCCAAGAACUUUAGAUUUAUUAUCAUAUUAAUUUAUCUUUACAACCCAGUGUAGUAGGCACUAUUAUUAUUCAUUUUGCAGAUGGGGAAACUACGGCUCAGUGGGGUUAAAUAAUAUUUCCUAGAUCACACAGCUAAUAAAAUUGAAACAACCUGGUUUCAGAUACAUGAACUCUUGAAAUUAACUCCUUCAAGCCCAUGUUCUAUCAGAUACAUUUUGAAAGGCCAUGCUCAGAAAAUUCAUUGGUGGUGGAAGAAUUAAGUCUACUCUGACCAUAUUUUUUAAAGGAAAACUUAGGACACAUAGUUUGACCAACAGCAACGUGCUCUGUAUGGCAUAUAGCAGCCACUCAAUAAUUUCACUGGGUCAUCAGGGAAGGAUGUUUGAAAUCGGAGUUUUCCUGGAAAAUCUUGGAAGGUCUGGUAUUGUAUACAUGCCCUUCAAGGUGAUAACCAUAGAACUUAUGCAUAAGAUGCAUAUUUGAUAAUCCUCCUUGCUAUGGCCUGAAUAUUUGUGGCCCUCCAAAAUUCAUAUGUUGAAACUUAAUCCUCAACGUGAUAGUAUUAAGAGCUGAGGCUUUUUGGGAAGGGACUAAGUCAUACGACCUCCACCCUCAUAAGUGGGAUCAGUAUUGUUAUGAAAGAGGUUAAAGGGAGCUCCUUGGCCUCUUCUGCCAUGUAAGGACAUGGCAAUAAGGCAUCAUCUGUGGAGUAGAGAGAGAGUCUUCACCAGAUGCAAAAUCUACUGGUGCAUUGAUCUUGGACUUCCCAGCCUCCAGAACCAUGAGAGAUAAAUUUCUGUUAUUUAUAAAUUACCCAGUAUAAAAUAUUUGGCUAUAGUGACCUGAACAAACUAAGACAUUCCUUUAGAAUGAAAGAAGUUUUUAUAUUCUUUUUCAAAGGGUAUUGGCAUUUAGCUAGUCAUUCAUCUACAACUUAAUGAUUUAAUCUUUUUUUGACUUGGUUGUAAUAUUUGAUCUUCUGGUAAUUUGUGAACUGCUGGAAUGCUUAACUUUGCGGUAGAGGAGGAAGCAUAAAAUAGUCUUUGUAUUAUUUAUAAUUAUCCUUAAUCUAGGCUUGAUGGAACAGUGUGGUAUAUUUUGACUGUUCCAUUGGGAUAAGUUGCUGGAGUUUUUCUUUAAGUGAAAUACUGUAGACUGGGUUGCUAUUUAGCAACCAAACAUAUAAUCAAAGCAAUGGGAAGGUUGGGGGUAGAGAAAUUCUUGCACUUUUAAUUUGUUUAUAAAAAUAAGGCAAACAUUUCAAGAAGAAACAUUGUCCAGUUCCAAACUCCAACAGAGGUUACAUCUUCCUAAAUCACUUCUUUGGAAAAUUCAUAUCGUCCUGCUCUACCCAGCAUCAAUAUUGGUGAGUUUGCAGUGUGGAAAUUUUAGGCUUUUGUAGAAAUCAGGGCUUCACACAAAAGAGGAGAAAGACAGUAGAAACAAAAGUUGUGUCUGGCCUGUUAUUCCUGCAGACCCUCAACUCCUGAUGUCAUGAAUCUUAAGGGAGUAUUUUAAAAACAAAUUAUAAAGUAUAAAUUAGCUUAGCAUCAUGUUGUACACCAUAAAUAUAUAAAGUUUUUAUUUGUCAAUUUCAAAAUGAAUAAAGACAGUGAAACAAUACAAAAUGUAUAACAUAGUUUAACUUACUUGGAAGUUAUCUUCAGCAACAGCAGGAAUACAGUAAGAGUAGUAUUGUAAAAUAGGAAGUCUCAAAUAAUUUAUGUUGUGGUGAGUCUGAAAUAAUUUAGGAGUAAAAAUAUCCUUACAAACAUUAGGAUGGGUGAGGUAACCCAGAGGUGAGGAGUGAUAUAUGUAUAUCCCACUGUUUUACCCAGUUGAUUCAAUAUUCCCAGUGACAUUUAUGUUUAGAAUUUGCAUUAUGUAAUUUUAUAACAAGUUCUGAAUGAAGGUGAGUACUAGGAUUAUGGAGACAUGACAAGCAGGUAUUGUAAAGACAAUUUACUUUUUUUCAGGUCACUCUCCUAUGUGUGUGACGGAUGUAAUGCUGAGUCAGUUGUAUAUUUAAUUGUUGGAUUUACAAUCUUUCUUUAAAAUGCCACCUGAAUGUAGAGUGAACACCCUUGAAGACCCAUCUGCACUGUUGCAAUACAUUCUGCACCUGGGUUUUUGUUUUCUUUG